GCCUCAGCUCUACAAAGUCACCAGAGGCUUCUUCCUUAUUUUUGUGAAAGAUUUAUUGUAUGGCAAUAAAUCUGAAUGGUAAACUUUCAUUAUACUGGCAUUAAUUUUGACUAUUAGUUUGCUUAGAAAUUUGUACACGAAGUAAAAAUGUGUAAUGAUGCAACACAGGAUCAUCAUGUGUUCAGAUGGAAAUUAACAUCUGAUUUUACCCAAGAUCGGAGGCUGUUACUGCAUUGUGUCAUUUUAUCAACAAAGACUUCUGCCACAAUAUGUACUUUUAAAAGAAUGUGUCCCUUUCAGUAGCAUCUUCCCUAUCAAGAGUUCAAGGCACUUUGCAGAAAAGCUUCAGAAUUCUAACUCUAGUUCCCACAGUCACCCAUUGAGGCUGGUGUCAUACAAUCUAUGAACAACAACCUUGCAGCAGGACUGCCACCAUUCAGCAGUGCAGACAACACAGCUCAAGGACAAAGACAGAGAAAGGAAAGAGGAGAAGGUCCCUGAAGGUGAAGCAUAGAAAGUACACUGCACACACAGUUCUCUCUGGAAGGAAAGCACAGGAGCUGGGGAGUGGAUGAUGGGAAGUGGAAAGGACACAGGACCAGCGUCAGAACACUCAGCAACUUCCUAAGACCUUGCUAAGGUACAUCCAAGAGAAAUGUUUAGUGGGGGAAACUUUUAAGCACUAAACUUGUUAAUAUAUCAUACUUUAAGCAACAUUUCGUCCUUUAGAUUCUGGGGAGCCAGGGUUUUGCAUUGGGUGGUAGAGCUCUCCGCAGAACUGAGUCACUCUGCAUUUUCUUUGCAGAGUCAUAAAUUAGUUUCGGCACUUGCUGAUACUUCACAGGCUGGAGUUUGCAAGGUCAACCCUUUAGGUCUCUUAAUUCUCUCCUAGGCGCUAUCCCUGCAAUAUCAGUAGUUGCCACUUCAUUUUAGGGACUGAUCCUUAGGCCUUCUGACUCCAAAUUCGGAACUGUUUCAGUGUCCUACAUCACCUCCUGGAGUCAAAGAGGUCAGAGUUUCUAUUCAGUGAUGAAGAGCCAAGCUAGCUAUGCAUAUGAAGAACUGAAGUAGAUUAUAGCACACGAUCCACAGCAAAAAUGCAUAUUUAUUUUGUAUGAAUUAUAUUAAAACAUAAAGUUUAAUCUCAUUAGGGUAUAGCUAUUCGGAGGUCCCAUCCAAAGCAAGGAAGACUCACCAGUAGCCCCAAGACCCUUGGUCAGGUCGUACUCCAACCCCUAAUCUGACUUCACAAGGCUAUCUAAAUGUCAGCUACUCAGACACAGCCUCUGGCAUUAGCAAAAUCCCCUAGAGGAAAAGCAGCCCCAUAGAGCUGGACAAGUAAUACUUUAACUAUCUUGUUGGCUCUGGGAUCCUUCAAGCAAAUUUUAAAAAUAUUUUUACCAGAUUUCCAAGUUGUCCUUAGCUGGAAGGUUGGUCCUCCAUUACUGUCAUUGGACUAUUGCUCAUGGGUACUGCAGUUCAACUUCUAAACCACCUCAGUACCUGAAUGUGGUCGGAGGUGAAACCAGAUUACUGAUGCCUUCAGGUGCCCAGCUGAAGCAAAUGCAAAUUCUGUGGAGGAAGUGAACAUAACCCAAGGCCUCAAAUUAUUUCUGCAGUGUUGCAAUAAGAAAUACCCAGGUAUGGGAGAAGACCAGACAACAUUAAUUACUUGAAUUAAAACCAUUAGAGGAAAACAUAGACAAUAGAAAUAUCCAAAAGGACUCCAGAUACCUUAGUCACAGAAUUUAAAACAGCUAUGCUUACUGUGUUCAAAAAAAUGAGGCCGGGCGCGGUGGCUCAAGCCUGUAAUCCCAGCACUUUGGGAGGCCGAGACGGGCGGAUCACGAGGUCAGGAGAUCAAGACCAUCCUGGCUAACACGGUGAAACCCCGUCUCUACUAAAAAAUACAAAAAAACUAGCCGGGCGAGGUGGCGAGCAACUGUAGUCCCAGCUACUCGGGAGGCUGAGGCAGGAGAAUGGCGUAAACCCGGAGGCGGAGCUUGCAGUGAGCUGAGAUCCGGCCACUGCACUCCAGCCUGGGCAACAGAGCCAGACUCCCUCUCAAAAAAAAAAAAAAAAAAAA
ensembl:lncRNA